UACGGAGGAUCCAAGCGUUAUCCGGAUUUAUUGGGUUUAAAGGGUGCGUAGGCGGCUUUUUAAGUCAGGGGUGAAAGACGGUAGCUCAACUAUCGCAGUGCCCUUGAUACUGAAGAGCUUGAAUACACUAGAGGUAGGCGGAAUAUGACAUGUAGUGGUGAAAUACAUAGAGAUGUCAUAGAACACCGAUUGCGAAGGCAGCUAACGAAGCUGUAACUGACGCUGAGGCUCGAAAGUGCGGGGAUCAAACAGG
rnacentral:rRNA from 1 species